rnacentral:rRNA from 1 species
GAUGAACGCUGGCGGCGUGCUUAACACAUGCAAGUCGAACGGAAAGGCUCCUGCUUGCAGGGGUACUCGAGUGGCGAACGGGUGAGUAACACGUGGGUGAUCUGCCCUGCACUUCGGGAUAAGCCUGGGAAACUGGGGCUAAUACCGGAUAGGAGCACAUGUUGGAUGGUGGGGUGGGAAGUUUUUCGGUGGGGGGUGAGCUCGCGGCCGAUCAGCUUGUUGGUGGGGUAGUGGCCUACCAAGGCGUCGACGGGUAGCCGGCCUGAGAGGGUGUACGGCCACAUUGGGACUGAGAUACGGCCCAGACUCCUACGGGAGGCAGCAGUGGGGAAUAUUGCACAAUGGGCGCAAGCCUGAUGCAGCGACGCCGCGUGGGGGAUGACGGCCUUCGGGUUGUAAACUCCUUUCGCCAGGGACGAAGCGCAAGUGACGGUACCUGGAGAAGAAGCACCAGCUAACUACGUG